rnacentral:rRNA from 1 species
CGGGCCCGCACAAGCAGCGGAGCGUGUGGUUUAAUUCGAUGCUACACGAAGAACCUUACCAGGGUUUGACAUGCUAGUGGUAGGAAACCGAAAGGUGACCGACCCUUCGGGGAGCUAGCACAGGUGCUGCAUGGCUGUCGUCAGCUCGUGUCGUGAGAUGUUCGGUUAAGUCCGCUAACGAGCGCAACCCUCGCUGUGUGUUAUAUGUGUCACACGGGACUGCCGGUCUUAAGCCGGAGGAAGGUGGGGAUGAUGUCAAGUCAGCAUGGCCUUUAUAUCCUGGGCUACACACACGCUACAAUGGCCAACACAAUAGGUUGCUAAGCCGCGAGGUGGCGCCAAUCCAUAAAGUUGGUCUCAGUUCAGAUUGUAGGCUGCAACCCGCCUGCAUGAAGAUGGAGUUGCUAGUAACCGCAGGUCAGCUAUACUGCGGUGAAUACGUUCCCGGGGCUU